rnacentral:misc_RNA from 1 species
GAUGAAGAACGUAGCGAAAUGCGAUAAGUAAUGUGAAUUGCAGAAUUCAGUGAAUCAUCGAAUCUUUGAACGCACAUUGCGCCCCCUGGUAUUCCGGGGGGCAUGCCUGUCCGAGCGUCAUUAAAAUCACUCAAGCUUAGGUUUACCUAUUGCUUGGUCUUGGAGAUGGAAGCCAAUUUAUUGGAAUCCUCUUCGAAAUUCAAUGGCGAAGACCCUUGCUCUCCCAAGUGUAGUAAUAACUUAUGUCACUGAAGGAAGCGAGAAAUCUUCUGCCGUAACCCCCAUAUUUUCUAUGAUUGACCUCGGAUCAGGUAGGGAUACCCGCUGAACUUAAGCAUAUCAAUAAGCGGAGGA